CGUGGGGCGGGGCGAGGCGCGCUCCCAUUGGCUGCCGCGCGCCACGUCCGCGCGCCGGAGCCAAAAAGGCGAAAUUUUAACCCAAACUGCAGGAGACGCUGCGGGGGCUGCGGGGAGAGAACGCGCGGCUGGAGGGGACCCUGAGGAACCUGAGCCGAGCGCUGGGGGCUCUGCGGGCCCGGCUGCGGGACCCCCCCGAUCUGCCCUGGAGCCCGGAGCCCCCCCCGGCCGAGCUGCCCCCCCCGUGUCCCC